rnacentral:rRNA from 1 species
AUUGAACGCUGGCGGCAGGCUUAACACAUGCAAGUCGAGCGAGCGGCGGACGGGUGAGUAAUGUCUGGGAAAAUGCCUGAUGGAGGGGGAUAACUACUGGAAACGGUAGCUAAUACCGCAUACCAUCAGAUGUGCCCAGCGGGGAUUAGAUAGUAGGUGGGGUAAUGGCUCACCUAGGCGACGAUCCCUAGCUGGUCUGAGAGGAUGACCAGCCAAACUGGAACUGAGACACGGGCCAGACUCCGACGGUAGGCAGCAGUGGGGAAUAGUGCACAAUGGGCGCAAGCCUGAUGCAGCCAGGCCGCGUGUGUGAAGAAGGCCUUCGGGUUGUAAAGCACUUUCAGCGAGGAGGCGUUACGCGCAGAAGAAGCACCGGCUAACUCCGUGCCAGCAGCCGCGGUAAGAC